rnacentral:lncRNA from 1 species
UUCAGCAGAGAGCUGCUCAUAGAAUCAAGUGGGGUUAGGAAUUUCUGGAUAACAUGAUAACUCCUGAGAUUAGUGGCACAGUGAGAUGGGUUUAGCCUUGUCUCACUCCCCAGUCCCAUCCUCUAACCCCACACUACCCCAGCCAUCCCAUCAUCCCGUGCUUCUCUUCCUACCUAAUUGGGUACAGAAUGAGAAAAACAGUCAGGAACAAGAGAUGGUGACAGUAAAGAGCACCAGGUAAACCUACUGAAAGAGCACCAGUGGCCUCAUGUGGAAUAAUUUUAACUCCACUGAUGCCUCCUACAAUCAAAUAAUCAAACCAGCCAACUCUCUGGAGAAAUAAUGAAAACAAAUUGUUCUGUUCUUAUUCUUAAUUUAACAUUUUUCAUCUUAUGAAUUGGAUACAAUUGAAGCUUGGAAAUACCUAAAUUUUAAAAAUUUGGCAUAUCUUUUUAGAACUCAGUUAUUACUUAAAUCCAUCCAUCAUGGUACUUGGAAGUAGGAUAAAGAUCACUUUCAGAGAGGAGUACACCAAAAAAAUUCCCACCCAAGGUGUCAAUGUCACUAGAGGAAUAUUCUGUGCUAUUUAAGUGGAAAAGUGAUUUCCCUUUCCAUUUCAUCAGGCAGAGAUUAUUAUACAUUUUGAAGCACAUAUUGGAGCUUGGAAGAAGAAUGAAGGAUAAAUAAGGGUCUUGUGCUACGGACAAAGCAAAU